rnacentral:rRNA from 1 species
GUGAACGCUGGCGGUAGGCCUAACACAUGCAAGUCGAACGGCAGCACAGUAAGAGCUUGCUCUUACGGGUGGCGAGUGGCGGACGGGUGAGGAAUACAUCGGAAUCUACUUUUUCGUGGGGGAUAACGUAGGGAAACUUACGCUAAUACCGCAUACGACCUACGGGUGAAAGCAGGGGAUCUUCGGACCUUGCGCGAUUGAAUGAGCCGAUGUCGGAUUAGCUAGUUGGCGGGGUAAAGGCCCACCAAGGCGACGAUCCGUAGCUGGUCUGAGAGGAUGAUCAGCCACACUGGAACUGAGACACGGUCCAGACCCCUACGGGAGGCAGCAGUGGGGAAUAUUGGAAAAUGGGCGCAAGCCUGAUCCAGCCAUACCGGGUGGGUGAAGAAGGCCUUCGGGUUGUAAAGCCCUUUUGUUGGGAAAAAAAAGCAGCAGGUUAAUACCCCGCUGUUCUGACGGUACCCAAAGAAUAAGCCCCGGCUAACUUCGU